rnacentral:rRNA from 1 species
CUGGCUCAGGAUGAACGCUAGCUACAGGCUUAACACAUGCAAGUCGAGGGGCAGCAUAAGCUUAGCUUGCUAAGUUGAUGGCGACCGGCGCACGGGUGAGUAACGCGUAUCCAACCUGGCCCAUAGUAGGGGAUAGCCCGGCGAAAGUCGGAUUAAUACCCUAUGUUAUCCGUUGAGGACAUCUGAGAUGGAUUAAAGAUUUAUCGCUAUGGGAUGGGGAUGCGUCUGAUUAGCUUGCCGGCGGGGUAACGGCCCACCGGGGCAUCGAUCAGUAGGGGUUCUGAGAGGAAGGUCCCCACAUUGGAACUGAGACACGGUCCAAACUCCUACGGGAGGCAGCAGUGAGGAAUAUUGGUCAAUGGUCGCAAGACUGAACCAGCCAAGUAGCGUGCAGGAAUGACGGCCCUAUGGGUUGUAAACUGCUUUUGCAGGGGAAUAAAGUGCGGCACGUGUGCUGUUUUGUAUGUACCCUGAGAAUAAGGACCGGCUAAUUCCGUGCCAGCAGCAGC